rnacentral:rRNA from 1 species
AACGAACGCUGGCGGCAGGCCUAACACAUGCAAGUCGAACGUGAAGCCACCUUCGGGUGGUGGAAAGUGGCAGACGGGUGAGUAACACGUGGGAACGUACCCUUCGGUUCGGAAUAACCCAGGGUAACUUGGGCUAAUACCGGAUACGUCCGAAAGGAGAAAGAUUUAUCGCCGAAGGAUCGGCCCGCGUCGGAUUAGCUAGUUGGUGAGGUAACGGCUCACCAAGGCGACGAUCCGUAGCUGGUCUGAGAGGAUGAUCAGCCACACUGGGACUGAGACACGGCCCAGACUCCUACGGGAGGCAGCAGUGGGGAAUAUUGGACAAUGGGCGCAAGCCUGAUCCAGCCAUGCCGCGUGAGUGAUGAAGGCCUUAGGGUUGUAAAGCUCUUUCGCCAGGGACGAUAAUGACGGUACCUGGAUAAGAAGCCCCGGCUAACUUCGUGCCAGCAGCCGCGGUAAUACGAAGGGGCUAGCGUUGUUCGGAAUCACUGGGCGUAAAGCGCAUGUAGGCGG